GGGGUGGUAGAAUCCUAACACCAGCCAAAGUACCAAGGAAAUCUGGAAUGAGCAAGGUCUAGACAUGAGUAGCUGCAACAAUGACAUUGAUACCCAAGGAUCUAGGCUAAAUAAGCUCCCUCAUGAAAGGGGGCUGUAACUGGAGCUAUUGCCUCCUGGAAGAGGAACUGCAUGCAGCACUGGGAUACUUGUGUUUCGGGCUUUUAAUAAGUUAGUUACCACCCACUUCGCUUGUGUUCUCUCAGGGCAGCUGUAUUUCGUCCACACCCAAACACGGCCCCGAGACCCGGUCCACACAAGUACAGCUGUUGUCUGGCCAACUCUUUCUUCUGCAGUCUCACCCUUCCAGGGGCUGGGGUCAAGGCUGAAGCAGCGACGGGCCGCAGAAAGAGUGCUGGAGGCAAGCUUAGUCUUCGGCUGACAGGAAUGGGCAUUGCUAUUUAACGGAAGUUGGGCUCAUCUGUGAUCCUGAGCUUUCGGAGCCGUAAAAUACGGAGAUUAGACUAUCUGUCAUCUAGUGUCCCUUCCCCUGAGAUGGCUCAGCAGGAAGGGAUUUCUUACUGCUUUGACGAAUUCCCUAACAAAUCCACUGAGAUGGGUUUUACUUCAGCUCGCUGUUGGAGGGUCCAAU